GUGAGUCUCUCUCUUUUUCGCGGCUGCAGCAAGAUGGUGGAGGUUGUUCUGGGCGCGUCCGUUCUGUAUCCAUCGGCAUCCUCCAUCGUGGAGCCUCGGGCUGAUUCACCGGCGGCUGGAUGUGACUGCCGCGGCUCCUGCGAGUGAACUUUCGCCAAGAUGUCGUUGAACGAGGUUGGAAUCUGAACAGGAGUUGAGUGCUUGCCUGCUGCAGUCACAGGUUGGAAUUUAAAUGAGAGAUGGAAGAGAUUUCUUGUCUUGCAGUUUUGCAGGCUUUCCAGUUGUGGGCCAGUGGUGACACCAGGACAUGAUGUCUGGAACGCCCCCAAAUUGAACCUUUGGAUGAAACUUGUAUUAUGGCAUUAUUCAAUGUGUUGAAUUACUUGUUGAUUAAAAUCACUGAAUUCUG